rnacentral:lncRNA from 7 species
UCCAGAACAAAGGGGUAUGCAAUCAAACUAAUCCUAGCCGUCUGCAUCCAAUCGCACGGCUAGGCGCCUUUCUUCUACCCUGCAGCCGAGGUCGACCAGAGCACUCGCGCCCUCGCCGGAAAGCACGCCGGCGCGCGACUAGCCGACGAUCUGGCGCCCGUCUAGCCGAGCGGUUUGGUUCUACGCGAAGCAUGGGAGAUGGCGAACUUUUUGGUGGUUUACAUACCUUGAAUCGAGACGGCAGGGGCCCCAAUCAUGCACCGCAGCGGCACCAGACGCGCCAAGGAGAUCUCUCCGACCGCGGAUGGAGUUGAGAGACGGAUGCCAGCGACUCCUACACGGUGGCCUCCCUACCAACACUUCUCUGCUGGCGGCGGGGUAGGUUUAGGCUGUUAAUGGAGGCGGAUUCGAGCUUGGGGCGAGAUCUCCAGGUUUUCUGUGCGUGAUGUAGAAAGGCCAGAGAACGGGCGGCGGUGAACCUAGGGAAGCUGUGGAGCGGAGAGAGGCAAGGGAUCGUGGCCACUGAUAUAGGUGUGGGCUGAGCCGCAGCCGCAACGGCUUACCCGGAAUCGACGGCGAGCUUCUGCCAUCGUCGGGCGAAGUUGUUGGAGUGACCCCCUGACGGCC